GGUGGGUUGGCUCAGUGGUAGAGCGUAGUUCUCGGAACCAAAAGGUCGCGGAAUCGAAUCCCGCUAGAUGCUG
rnacentral:tRNA from 1 species